rnacentral:lncRNA from 1 species
GGCAAGGCCACUGGUGUGGCUCAGGAAGACGAGGGGAUCAGGUUCCCUGUCAAAGGUCCACCUCUGUCUUACACGAGAAGCUGAUGGGGUCAAUCCAGCCGUCUGUUUAAUCCCAGCAACAAAGCCAGGCAUGACCAUGUAACAGUUUGGGCUGCUGAGCCAGAAGGGAAAGAGUACUACUGCUAGACUUCCAGGAAGGCUGCUCUAAGAAAGAUGACUCAGAGGUUGCACUUUUUUAGUUUUGGGGGUUUUUUUCCCUCUACUUCCUGCUUCUUGGAACUAGGACAUGAUGUCUGGAACUCUAGCAGCCAUUUUGGACCAUGAGGUGAUUGUGCGACUAGAAGACACAUCGUAGAAUGGAGCACCAAGACGAAAGCCCCCAAAGCUGCCCUAUAAGACCUGGACUUCAAACCAGCAAACUUCUUCCAUGUGAGAGAGAAAUAAGCUUAGGUUUUGUUUCUGCCAGUGUUAUCUUUGUUUUCGGUUAUGAGCCACUAAAUGUGAUCCCACUUGUUACCCCAGUCAUUCUCCCAACUUCCUAGACCCAUUAAUAGCAUUCUACACUCACAGUCCAUCAGUGGUGCAAGACUACAACACGAUUUUAAAUCCAAAAGUGAUAUAAAUGAUUUUGUGAUUCUGUGCUGCUGAGAUAUGUGCUUUUUUCAACUUGCAAAAUAUACUAUUGAAAUCUAUAGUUAAAAAAAAAAGA